rnacentral:rRNA from 1 species
GUGAAGAAGGCCUUCGGGUUGUAAAGCACUUUCAGUAGGGAGGAAGGCUUACCGCUAAUAACGGUGAGUACUUGACGUUACCUACAGAAGAAGCACCGGCUAAUUUCGUGCCAGCAGCCGCGGUAAUACGAAAGGUGCGAGCGUUAAUCGGAAUUACUGGGCGUAAAGCGCACGCAGGCGGUUUGUUAAGCUAGAUGUGAAAGCCCCGGGCUCAACCUGGGAAUUGCAUUUGAAACUGGCAGGCUAGAGUGCAGUAGAGGGAGGUGGAAUUUCCGGUGUAGCGGUGAAAUGCGUAGA